GAAAAGGCAAGGUGCGCGAAAUCGUACUACGCAAAACCACCGGUCUAAGGGAUUUAUAUUUUAUAAAUUUAAAUCCUAUGACAGCGGAGUCACC
rnacentral:ncRNA from 1 species